UGGGGAAUCUUGGACAAUGGGCGCAAGCCUGAUCCAGCCAUGCCGCGUGAGCGAUGAAGGCCUUAGGGUUGUAAAGCUCUUUCACCGGUGAAGAUAAUGACGGUAGCAGGUAAAGAAACCCCGGCUAACUCCGUGCCAGCAGCCGCGGUAAUACGGAGGGGGUUAGCGUUGUUCGGAAUUACUGGGCGUAAAGCGCACGUAGGCGGACCAGAAAGUUGGGGGUGAAAUCCCGGGGGCUCAACCCCGGAACUGCCUCCAAAACUAUUGGUCUAGAGUUCGAGAGAGGUGAGUGGAAUUCCAAGUGUAGAGGUGAAAUUCGUAGAUAUUUGGAGGAACACCAGUGGCGAAGGCGGCUCACUGGCUCGAUACUGACGCUGAGGUGCGAAAGUGUGGGGAGCAAACAGGAUUAGAUACCCUGGUAGUCCACACCGUAAAACGAUGAAUGCCAGUCGUCGGGUAGCAUGCUAUUCGGUGACACA
rnacentral:rRNA from 1 species